rnacentral:rRNA from 1 species
UGGGGGAUAUUGCACAAUGGGCGAAAGCCUGAUGCAGCGACGCCGCGUGGGGGAUGAAGGCCUUCGGGUUGUAAACUUCUUUUGCUCUGAACAAGGCAUGCUAAUGGGUGUGUUGAGUGUAGGGGUUGAUUAGCGCCGGCUAACUACGUGCCAGCAGCCGCGGUAAUACGUAGGGCGCGAGCGUUGUCCGGAAUUAUUGGGCGUGAAAGGCUUGUAGGUGGCUGGUUGCGUCUGUCGUGAAAGCUCAUGGCUUAACUGUGGGUUUGCGGUGGGUACGGGCUGGCUUGAGGGGAGUAGGAGAGGCUGGAAUUCCUGGUGUAGCAGUGGAAUGCGCAGAUAACAGGAGGAAUACCGGUGGCGAAGGCGGGUCUCUGGGCUGUUACUGACACUGAGGAGCGAAAGCAUGGGGAGCGAACAGG